rnacentral:rRNA from 1 species
CCUACGGGAGGCAGCAGUGAGGAAUAUUGGUCAAUGGACGAGAGUCUGAACCAGCCAAGUAGCGUGAAGGAUGACUGCCCUAUGGGUUGUAAACUUCUUUUAUAAAGGAAUAAAACGAGGCACGUGUGCCCUUUUGCAUGUACUUUAUGAAUAAGGAUCGGCUAACUCCGUGCCAGCAGCCGCGGUAAUACGGAGGAUCCGAGCGUUAUCCGGAUUUAUUGGGUUUAAAGGGAGCGUAGAUGGGUUGUUAAGUCAGUUGUGAAAGUUUGUGGCUCAACCGUAAAAUUGCAAUUGAUACUGGCAGUCUUGAGUACAGUUGAGGUAGGCGGAAUUCGUGGUGUAGCGGUGAAAUGCUUAGAUAUCACGAAGAACCCCGAUUGCGAAGGCAGCUUACUAAACUGUGACUGACAUUGAGGCUCGAAAGUGUGGGUAUCAAACAGGAUUAGAUACCCGGGUAGUC